UAGAGCAAAGGCCAUGUUGGUUGGGCCUGGCCACACACAGGUGGCAAAUGAGAUUGUAACACAGAGAAAGGUGCACAAUCAUGCUAGGUCACACGUAAGUGACCAACUGAAUUACAAUUUACCCUAGUAGAUCAUGUGC